rnacentral:rRNA from 1 species
UACGUAGGGUGCAAGCGUUAAUCGGAAUUACUGGGCGUAAAGCGUGCGCAGGCGGCUUUGCAAGACAGAUGUGAAAUCCCCGGGCUUAACCUGGGAACUGCAUUUGUGACUGCAUGGCUAGAGUGCGGCAGAGGGGGAUGGAAUUCCGCGUGUAGCAGUGAAAUGCGUAGAUAUGCGGAGGAACACCGAUGGCGAAGGCAAUCCCCUGGGCCUGCACUGACGCUAAUGCACGAAAGCGUGGGGAGCAAACAGG